UGAGAGAAAAAAUUGACAACUCUUAUUACUUUAAUUAGUAGCAAUACAAUGUGCAUAAAUAGCUAGUUCAUUACAUUGGAAGAACACAAAAAAUAACUUGUUCUAGUAUCCAAGCUGUAAAAUCAGCUUAAUGAUAAGUUAAGAAGCUACUAAAUCAGCUAAGUAGCUGACUAACCUUAGCAAAAACAAAAUUACAAUCAGACAAGACUUAGUUUACAUAUUACAAAAAAAUUCAAACAUCCAAAUUACACAUUGCAAAUUUCCUUGCUGCUAACUUUCAACACAUCAUCAUACAUUGAUUAAUUUACAUGAAUCAACAACCACGUAGUGAAAUUGGACCUUUCACUUUCUUUGGGGUAUCUUGGAUUCAUAAUAUAGAGAAAUAAUUUUAGACAAACCAACACACAAACCCUUAUCCCAGACUUCAUCUAUGGGUUAUUUUGAUCUCUAGCUGCUCACUACAUAAUUAAACAUAUGGAAGAGACAAGACUAUAAUAAUCUAAGCGGUUUAAGAGUGAGAAGACAAGGUCUUGCCAAAAUCUUUUAAAAUCUUCUUCAUCACACUUCCCCUCUGUGGUGGCUUCAUUGGUGGGUCGCUAAUGGGUGUCUGAGGCGUUUUCGGCGGCCUGCUGUUACUGCUUCCAGGAUCUCUACAACUUCCAUCAUCUCCACUGCGGCUGCCGCCUUGGCUGUUGCCUUCACUCAUCCUCUGAUCUCUACUUGAUUAACAAAAGAGCAGGAACAAUGAAUGGAGUUUGAAAGGAAAGAUGAAGUGGGAAAAAUGGGAGGCCUUUUAAUGUUGGAUUUAUGGGUCUUAAGCGUUCAACGACAAACCCAGCUGCACAAGGGCAUGCGCAUGUUUACUUUACUGGUAUGGCCCCCGCAUCCUAUGCGUUCUUUUUUUUUUUUUUUUUU
rnacentral:lncRNA from 1 species